GACGAACGCUGGCGGCGUGCCUAAUACAUGCAAGUAGGACGCAGUUGCGAACGGGUGAGUAACGCGUAGGUAACUACCUAUUAGAGGGGGAUAACUAUUGGAAACGAUAGCUAAUACCGCAUACUAGUAGAUGGACCUGCGUUGUAUUAGCUAGUAGGUAGGGUAAUGGCCUACCUAGGCAACGAUACAUAGCCGACCUGGAGGGGUUGUCCGACACAACGGGACUGGGGAACGGCUCAGACUCCUUCCGGGUGCAGCAGUAGGGAAACUUCGGAAAUGGGGGGAAACCUGGCCCCGCCCAGGCGCGGGGGUGAAAAAGGGUUUCGGAUCGUUAAGCUCUGUUGUUAAGGAAGCGGUACUUAACGAAAAAGGAACGGCUAACUACGUGCCAGCCGCCGCGGUAAUAC
rnacentral:rRNA from 1 species